rnacentral:tRNA from 2 species
CUUUAAAGGAUCCAAGU